rnacentral:lncRNA from 1 species
AAAUAUAUUCUCCAGAACAUUCCUAGUCCAAGAGAUGUCCCAUGAAAAAUAAGGGAGAAGAGAUCUUGCUGACCCACCCCUUCUCUUUCUUUCUGACCUGAAUGUGGAUAUGUGGUUUGCUUCUGUGGCUGCAAUCAGGUGACAUGAGGCACCAACCAUUGGACCAAGAAGACAACAGCCAAAGACAGAAGAGCAGAAAAAUAAAAGGAAAAGGCCUGUGUUUUGAUAACAUCAAUGAGCAGCAGUACCAGUGCCAAUAGUCACCUGUCUCCAGCCUUCUUGUGAAUGAGAUACUACAGAUCCUGCCUCUGAAUGAGACUGCCCACUAUGCAAGUGCCUUACCUGUAGUGCACACUUAGCAACCAUUUGUUAAACAGAAGAAUGAAUAAAUGAAUGAAUGAAUGAAUGAAAACCCUAAUCCUAUCAUCAGUCAUGUCAGCACCUUCAUCUUUUUUCUUAGUAAGAGUCAAAUCAAUCCUCGUGUUUUGCCAACUUUUCACAGAGAAGGCUUAGAUUCGAAAUCUCUGUAGACAUAAUAGGUUUUCUGCUUUCUUUCCUUUCUCCAUUUCAACAUUCAGAAAACUCACACUGGAAGAUAACAGGGCCCUUUCUGAGAUUCUUCCUGUCUUCCAGAAUCUUUUCCAGGGGAACAGAGCUGCACCAGCCUCAGGUGCCCAAAGGGUAUCUGUCUUUCUCUCCAAGAGGAAGGCAAAGCAGUUUGUUCAUCUCAGCCUCCUCACCCCCCAGAGGCCCGGUUUGGCUCUGCAUUCACAGACACGUGCCCUGUCUUCCUCAACACAUCAUGGACUGGAGCAUGGGAGAAAGUCAUGCAACAUAGUCAACAGGUCUAGCCUCAGCUUCCCAAUACCCACACACAUAAAGUUAAACGGAAAGCAAUGAACAACACUGGUUGGGGGUGUCCUUGGAAACCAACGGCCUCCAUGGCUGACCAACAGCCAAGGCUCCACUCAACCUCAGUGGAGGACCUGAACUCUGACCCUUAGCCUAUUACCGAGCAGUGGUGUGAUCUUAGAUAAAAAACUGAACCUCUCUAGGUCUGUUUCUUCUUCCAUGAAAUGGAAAUAAAUAAAAUUUUGCCACUAAGAGCAUACAAUUUCUGUGAAAACCAAAAUAAUGUAAAAUCAUUGCCAGGUGUGAAUGAAGUCACAGGGGAAUAUAGAAGAAAAAUGAUUUGCCCAAAUUUCCAAAGCUUUUUUUCAGAGUUGCAUCCAAACUAACUCCAGGACUCAACUACUCCAUUUGGAGGGUCUCAGACUCCCAACCUCCUCCAUCUUUCCAUAUCUGUGGGUGAAAACUCUGCAAAAACUGUAAUGUGCUAGAUUUGAUGUGCU